rnacentral:lncRNA from 13 species
AAGGAAUCACUGUCGCUGCUUACCCCAACCCAAGUGGCACAAUUGACAUUGACCUCUGGGGCAUUGAAUGACACAGAUGACAUUAAACUUGUGUUUACGCGGCUGGAGGAAGGUGACGCUUUCAAAAAUGUUGACGAGUUUCUGACGCAACUGACCGCAAAGGAAGAGAUUCCUGACAUCCAUCCAGCCGUGAGAGAUGUGAUGAUGAAUCAGACGUUCAACAUCAUCAGCCUUCAAUUCCCAGAGUUCGAAACGCUGGACUGGAUUGCAUGGUUCGAAGUAAAGCUGAUUCCCAUCCUCCCCAGUUUGAAUGAAGUCAUGCUCACCAUUGCUACCUCAAACGUCAACUGCACCAACUACCAAGUCAUGUGAGUAGGGACCAACUUCCUGCUAAAAUUUGCCAUGGAUUUGAAGACUAAAAUCUAUUGCAAACGUGGGGUGGGUAUCUAUAGCAAGCGUCAUGAGUAUAUAUUUUCCCAUUUACAGUGUAAGAGGAAUGGACAGAGCUUUCCCUGAAAUGACUCAGGAUAGAAGAGAAGGAAUCGCAAGAGUCCUGCUGAAAUACCUGAGGAGAUCUGUUCACCUCAUCAAUGGACCAGCUUGCAGGCAGAAAAUCCACAAUGAUGCUGACUGGCUUGCAAUCAACCUGGGGCCAUUCUCCGAAUACACAACCUAUUCUGAUCUCAAAGUCUUCAACAUCUCAGGGGUGGCAAUUCUAGACUCCCUCUCACCAAACCAGAAAGCCGAGCUGAUACUGGACCCCACAAACCUGGCAAAUGAAUCUCUUGUGCAAGAGGUUUUCCUAGGGGUUCUGGGAUCUUCAGGUGUGGCGGAGAUUGGUCAAUUUUUCCAAUCAUUUGUGGAGGUUGCUUCAAAGAGAAACCUGACAGCUAUUGAGCCAGGACUGCGAGACACCCUCUUAAACCUGACACUGACGGCACUCGCCCCCAAAUUGCAGACACUAGAUACUCUGGGAUUCAAGCUUUGGUUCCAGGUCUAUCUCCCGUUAUUCCUCCCAAGCAUUCAUCCUGGGACCUUUUCCGUCAUCCCAAGGAAUAUCAGCUGUGACUCCUAUAGUGCAAUCAUCAAGGGGUGUGAUAAUGUGAUCACUAGGUUGUCGCUGAUCCAGUCCCAGCAAGUCUUCGUGUUCACCAAGGAUUAUUUGACAGGCCAAUCCAUUGAAGGAUUUUCCUGUGUGAAGACUGUGAGAGAUGACAGAGAUUGGCUCGGAAGCAACUUUGGACAAUUCCGGGUCUAUGCUUCAUAUGUGGACUUUGUGACCCUGAAGAGUGAUUUCAAUGGAGUGAAAGCAGCAGAUCUCCUCACUCCCAUCCAGCUGGCUCAGCUCGCGACGAUUCCCUCCCAACUUGAAGGGGCACAGGGUGUCAACAAGAUCAUGGCAGCCAUCAGUCCGGCUAACUUUGGAUUGUUCUUUGACAUACUCUCACCUGCCAUUCAGAAACACACGAAGAACUACACAGAAGAGGUGAAAUCAGCUUUCCUCCAGGUGGUGCUGGACAGCGGGAACCUGUCCUCCACCGCCAUCAACGACACACAGUUCCUCGUUUGGCUCAGGGUUCGGCUGAACCCCCUCUUGCUGAACCUCUCAUCCAAUCAAGUGACACCACUCUUCCGCAUCAUGAAGGAUAGGGGCUGCAACAGCAGCCAAGAAGCAAUCUCAUUAUUAGACACUCUGCGGUCUACACUGACUAAAGACACACAGAGGGAAAUCUACAGCAAUACCUUACUCCUCCUGAAAGGUACGCAUUUGGGUCUAAAACUGUGUUCUUCGAUCCCGGUUCUAGGGACCUAG